rnacentral:rRNA from 1 species
AACGCUAGCUACAGGCUUAACACAUGCAAGUCGAGGGGCAGCAUGGUCUUAGCUUGCUAAGGCCGAUGGCGACCGGCGCACGGGUGAGUAACGCGUAUCCAACCUGCCUUACACUCUUGGACAGCCUUCUGAAAGGGAGAUUAAUACAAGAUGUUAUCAUGAGUAAGCAUUUUCGCAUGAUUAAAGGUUUACCGGUGAUGGAUGGGGAUGCGUCUGAUUAGCUUGUUGGCGGGGUAACGGCCCACCAAGGCGACGAUCAGUAGGGGUUCUGAGAGGAAGGUCCCCCACAUUGGAACUGAGACACGGUCCAAACUCCUACGGGAGGCAGCAGUGAGGAAUAUUGGUCAAUGGGCGAGAGCCUGAACCAGCCAAGUAGCGUGCAGGAAGACGGCCCUAUGGGUUGUAAACUGCUUUUAUAAGGGAAUAAAGUGAGAGUCGUGACUCUUUUUGCAUGUACCUUAUGAAUAAGGACCGGCUAAUUCCGUGCCAGCAGCCGCGGUAAUACGGAAGGUCCGGGCGUUAUCCGGAUUUAUUGGGUUUAAAGGGAGCGUAGGCCGGAGAUUAAGCGUGUUGUGAAAUGUAGACGCUCAACGUCUGCACUGCAGCGCGAACUGGUUUCCUUGAGUACGCACAAAGUGGGCGGAAUUCGUGGUGUAGCGGUGAAAUGCUUAGAUAUCACGAAGAACUCCGAUUG